CUACGGGUUGCUGCAGUGAGGAAUAUUGCACAAUGGGGGAAACCCUGAUGCAGCAACGCCGCGUGGAGGAUGACGCAUUUCGGUGUGUAAACUCCUUUUAUCAGAGAAGAAAAUGACGGUAUCUGAUGAAUAAGCUCCGGCUAACUCCGUGCCAGCAGCCGCGGUAAUACGGAGGGAGCAAGCGUUAUUCGGAAUCACUGGGCGUAAAGGACGCGUAGGCGGGUUUUUAAGUCAGGUGUGAAAUCCUACAGCUCAACUGUAGAACUGCACUUGAAACUGGGAACCUAGAGUAUGGAAGGGGCAGGUGGAAUUAGUGGUGUAGGGGUAAAAUCCGUAGAUAUCACUAGGAAUACCGAAAGCGAAGGCGACCUGCUGGGACAUAACUGACGCUGAGGCGUGAAAGCGUGGGGAGCAAACAGGAUUAGAUACCCGGGUAGUC
rnacentral:rRNA from 1 species